AGAGUUUGAUCAUGGCUCAGAUUGAACGCUGGCGGCAGGCCUAACACAUGCAAGUCGAACGGUAACAGGAAGCAGCUUGCUGCUUUGCUGACGAGUGGCGGACGGGUGAGUAAUGUCUGGGAAACUGCCUGAUGGAGGGGGAUAACUACUGGAAACGGUGGCUAAUACCGCAUAACGUCGCAAGACCAAAGAGGGGGACCUUNGGGCCUCUUGCCAUCAGAUGUGCCCAGAUGGGAUUAGCUUGUUGGUGAGGUAACGGCUCACCAAGGCGACGAUCCCUAGCUGGUCUGAGAGGAUGACCAGCCACACUGGAACUGAGACACGGUCCAGACUCCUACGGGAGGCAGCAGUGGGGAAUAUUGCACAAUGGGCGCAAGCCUGAUGCAGCCAUGCCGCGUGUAUGAAGAAGGCCUUCGGGUUGUAAAGUACUUUCAGCGGGGAGGAAGGUGUUGUGGUUAAUAACCGCAGCAAUUGACGUUACCCGCAGAAGAAGCACCGGCUAACUCCGUGCCAGCAGCCGCGGUAAUACGGAGGGUGCAAGCGUUAAUCGGAAUUACUGGGCGUAAAGCGCACGCAGGCGGUCUGUCAAGUCGGAUGUGAAAUCCCCGGGCUCAACCUGGGAACUGCAUUCGAAACUGGCAGGCUUGAGUCUUGUAGAGGGGGGUAGAAUUCCAGGUGUAGCGGUGAAAUGCGUAGAGAUCUGGAGGAAUACCGGUGGCGAAGGCGGCCCCCUGGACAAAGACUGACGCUCAGGUGCGAAAGCGUGGGGAGCAAACAGGAUUAGAUACCCUGGUAGUCCACGCCGUAAACGAUGUCUACUUGGAGGUUGUGCCCUUGAGGCGUGGCUUCCGGAGCUAACGCGUUAAGUAGACCGCCUGGGGAGUACGGCCGCAAGGUUAAAACUCAAAUGAAUUGACGGGGGCCCGCACAAGCGGUGGAGCAUGUGGUUUAAUUCGAUGCAACGCGAAGAACCUUACCUGGUCUUGACAUCCACAGAAGAAUCCAGAGAUGGAUUUGUGCCUUCGGGAACUGUGAGACAGGUGCUGCAUGGCUGUCGUCAGCUCGUGUUGUGAAAUGUUGGGUUAAGUCCCGCAACGAGCGCAACCCUUAUCCUUUGUUGCCAGCGGUUAGGCCGGGAACUCAAAGGAGACUGCCAGUGAUAAACUGGAGGAAGGUGGGGAUGACGUCAAGUCAUCAUGGCCCUUACGACCAGGGCUACACACGUGCUACAAUGGCGCAUACAAAGAGAAGCGACCUCGCGAGAGCAAGCGGACCUCAUAAAGUGCGUCGUAGUCCGGAUUGGAGUCUGCAACUCGACUCCAUGAAGUCGGAAUCGCUAGUAAUCGUGGAUCAGAAUGCCACGGUGAAUACGUUCCCGGGCCUUGUACACACCGCCCGUCACACCAUGGGAGUGGGUUGCAAAAGAAGUAGGUAGCUUAACCUUCGGGAGGGCGCUUACCACUUUGUGAUUCAUGACUGGGGUGAAGUCGUAACAAGGUAACCGUAGGGGAACCUGCGGUUGGAUCACCU
rnacentral:rRNA from 1 species